UACAGAGGGGGCAAGCGUUAUUCGGAAUUAUUGGGCGUAAAGGGCGCGUAGGCGGCUUUGCAAGUGACGGGUGAAAUCCCUCGGCUUAACCGAGGAACUGCCUGUCAAACUGCAUGGCUUGAGACCGGGAGAGGUGAGUGGAAUUCCCAGUGUAGCGGUGAAAUGCGUAGAUAUUGGGAGGAACACCGGUGGCGAAGGCGGGUCUCUGGGCCGAUACUGACGCUGAGGAGCGAAAGCGUGGGGAGCGAACAGG
rnacentral:rRNA from 1 species